rnacentral:tRNA from 1 species
UGUGCUGUGGCUCAGUGGUAGAGUGCUUGUCUAGCAUAUGUAAGGCAUUGGGUUCGAUUCUCAGUACCACAU